AUUGCAUCAAACUCUUCAGGACAAGGUUUUCAAAACAAGUUGCAAUCUUGGCAGAACUGGACAAAGAGAAAAGAAGACUACUUAUGCAGAACCAGUCUUCAACAAAUCAUCCUGGAGCUAGCAUUGCACUCUCGAGACCCUGUCUUAAUAAGGACUUCUGGGAUCACGCUGAGCCGCAGUAUAUUGCAGCCCAGCAGAAGGCAGCUUUGCAGCAUGCUCAUGCACAUUCAUUUGGAUACUUCAUAACUCAAGACUCUGCAUUUGGGAACCUGAUUCUUCCUGUUUUACCUCGCCUUGACCCAGAAUGA
rnacentral:lncRNA from 1 species